rnacentral:lncRNA from 1 species
UGUGUGUCCAUGCUUAGUUAUGUCUGACUCUUUGUGACCUCAUGGACUGUAGCCCCCUGGCAUCACUCUCCAUGAAAUUUCCUAGGCAAGAUUGCUGUAUCGGGGUUGCCAUUUCCUACUCCAGGGGAUCUUCCCCACCCAGGGAUCCAACUCAUGUCUCCUGUAUUGUAGGCAGAUUCUUUACUACUGUGACGUGUGGGAAGCUCAUGUUUUUAUAUCCCAUGAAGCUUUGUGGAGAAGGCACUGGUGACCCACUCCAGUACUCUUGCCUGGAAAAUCCCAUGGAUGGAGGAGCCUGGUAG